ACAACCUUACUAGAACAUGAUUUUUUUUAUAGGCCCGUAUCAUUGUAUCCUUGAUCUCUAAGGAGACAGAAAACCACUUUUGGUGGAUGAACCGUGGUUGCCUGACUAGAGUGUGAUUAACCGCACUUCGGGUCGAGCUUUUGGCUCACGGUGUAGUAGAUGAUCGUUCUUGGCCCCACUCUGUCCAAUCAAGAUGGCCAUGCAGCUGUUUGACAAACU